rnacentral:lncRNA from 10 species
AGACAGUUGGGCCAUUUUCAACUCAAGGCAUCUGAGUUCCUCCUCAUCAAGUCAAGGGAAGUCGCAAAACCAGACGGAAUUCAAGGGAAGGAAACCGACUCCGCCUCUGAUGGCUGCAACAGUAUGCACAUUCAGGGAGGAAAGGAAUUAGCAGUGGUCAUCUUUCUGGACCAUCUACCACAGUGGCUAAAGUUAACACCUAGAAAGGAAGGUCGUGUUUUCAGCUUCUUUGACUGCUGCUCCAGGUGUCAAACCCUGAAGGGUGAGCUGACGCUAAAGACUGAGUGGUUAUUUUUUCCAGAAGAGGAGAAAGAUUGAAAAUGUGGCCGGCCGAUUCUCCCUGAUGAUCACACAGACAGACCUGCAUGACAGUCAAACAGACAGGCCUGCAUAGCACCCCAGUUACACAGACGAAUUUCCCCAGAGCUGCCUUAACAUUGAGCAAAUAGUUAAACCUAGGGAAAUUGGUGCCCAGACAGCAAAGCUAGAAAUGAAACAUAUGGUCAGUAGGAGCCUUGCGUGGGCUUCUCCCUAACCUGGAGCAAACCAAAAUAAUAGAGACAGUCUUUCAUUCCUAGUGCCAGGACCCGUCUCGGGUCAACGAAAUCUGAGACAGUCAAGGUAACAGAGGCAGCUGUUCGAAUAGAUUCAUUGGAGAGUCUAAGGCAGCCCUCCAGACCAAGCUGUAAAGCAGAUAAGAUAGAAAUAAUCACUCUGGUACCACAGUAGACAGGCCUUGUAGGUACUGGGCCGCUCACAGCUUAAUCCGACUUAGAAAGCAUUUUUGCCUCUGACCUUCUAGUUGAAACAAAAUUAGUUACCAGUAGACUUAGGCAAAUGCUACACUGCACACAGGCGCAUAACCC